rnacentral:ncRNA from 1 species
CAUUCGAUCAAUGAAAUGACCUUUCCGUGAAGAGGCGGAAAUAACACAAUAAGACGAGAAGACCCUAUGGAGCUAAAUUAAUAUUCCAACUUAAACAACUUCAAAUCUAAUCGAUGUAAAAUCUGCAACCACUGGAAUAAACAUUUUGGUUGGGGUGACCUCGGAGCAUAAAAAAACCUCCGAAGGACUAACAUUAAGACCAACUAGUCCAAAUUAUAAAUGUCCAAAUAUUGACCCAGAAAUAAUUCUGAUCAAUGAACCAAGUUACCCUAGGGAUAACAGCGCAAUCUUGUUAAAGAGUUCAUAUCGACAAUAAGGUUUACGACCUCGAUGUUGGAUCAGGACAUCCCAAUGGUGCAGCAGCUAUUAAAGGUUCGUUUGUUCAACGAUUAAAGUCCUACGUGAUCUGAGUUCAGACCGGAGCAAUCCAGGUCGGUUUCUAUCUAUUUACCUAUUUCUCCUAGUACGAAAGGACCAGAGAAAUGAGGCCAACUUUACAAAAGCGCCUUAAUACUUAAUAAAUGAUAUUAUAUCAACUUACAAAGUAACUUAACUCACUCAAUUACAUCCCGACAUUAGGGAUUGUUAAGAUGGCAGAGCCAG